GCGUGGCCUAGUCGUUGAGACGCCGGGCUCGAUAACCGAUGGUCGUGGGUUCAAGUCCGGG
rnacentral:tRNA from 11 species